CCUACGGGGGGCAGCAGUGAGGAAUAUUGGUCAAUGGACGAGAGUCUGAACCAGCCAAGUAGCGUGAAGGAUGACUGCCCUAUGGGUUGUAAACUUCUUUUAUAUGGGAAUAAAACGAUCCACGUGUGGGAUUUUGUAUGUACCAUAUGAAUAAGGAUAGGCUAACUCCGUGCCAGCAGCCGCGGUAAUACGGAGGAUCCGAGCGUUAUCCGGAUUUAUUGGGUUUAAAGGGAGCGUAGGUGGAUUGUUAAGUCAGUUGUGAAAGUUUGCGGCUCAACCGUAAAAUUGCAGUUGAAACUGGCAGUCUUGAGUACAGUAGAGGUGGGCGGAAUUCGUGGUGUAGCGGUGAAAUGCUUAGAUAUCACGAAGAACUCCGAUUGCGAAGGCAGUUCACUGGACUGCAACUGACACUGAGGCUCGAAAGUGUGGGUAUCAAACAGGAUUAGAUCCCCAGUAGUC
rnacentral:rRNA from 1 species